UACGUAGGGAGCAAGCGUUGUUCGGAUUUACUGGGCGUAAAGGGCGCGUAGGCGGCCUCGUAAGUCGACUGUGAAAUCCCAGGGCUUAACCCUGGAAGUGCAGCCGAUACUGCUUGGCUUGAGUCUCGGAGAGGGUGGUGGAAUUCCCAGUGUAGAGGUGAAAUUCGUAGAUAUUGGGAGGAACACCGGUGGCGAAGGCGACCACCUGGACGAAGACUGACGCUGAGGCGCGAAAGCGUGGGGGAGCAAACAGG
rnacentral:rRNA from 1 species